CCCUUAGAUGUUCUGGGCCGCACGCGCGCUACACUGAUUCAUGCACUAAGUAUAUAACCUUGGUAGAAAUGCUUGGGUAAUCUUUGAAACUGAAUCGUGCUGGGGAUUGGAGCUUGUAAUUAUUCUCCAUGAACGAGGAAUUCCUAGUAAACGCGAGUCAUCAGCUCGCAUUGAUUACGUCCCUGCCCUUUGUACACACCGCCCGUCGCACCUACCGAUUGGAUGGUCCGGUGAAGCCUCGGGAUUGUGGUUCUUGCCGCUUUAUUGUGGCGUGACCGCGAGAACUUGUCUAAACCUUAUCAUCUAGAGGAAGGUGAAGUCGUAACA
rnacentral:rRNA from 1 species